GCCUGGGUGGCUCAGUUGGCUGAGCAUCUGACUUCAGGUCAGGUCAUGAUCUCGUGGUUUGUGGGUUUGAGCCCUGCAUCGGGCU
rnacentral:tRNA from 1 species